GAGUUUGAUCGUGGCUCAGGAUGAACGCUGGCGGCGUGCCUAACACAUGCAAGUUGAGCGAUCUUCUUCGGAAGAGAGCGGCGGACGGGUGAGUAACGCGUGGGUAACCUACCCUGUACACACGGAUAACAUACCGAAAGGUAUGCUAAUACGAGAUGAUAUGUUUCAUUCGCAUGUUUGAAACAUCAAAGCUCCGGCGGUAUAGGAUGGACCCGCGUCUGAUUAGCUAGUUGGUGAGGUAACGGCUCACCAAGGCGACGAUCAGUAGCCGACCUGAGAGGGUGAUCGGCCACAUUGGAACUGAGACACGGUCCAAACUCCUACGGGAGGCAGCAGUGGGGAAUAUUGCACAAUGGGCGAAAGCCUGAUGCAGCAACGCCGCGUGAACGAUGAAGGCCUU
rnacentral:rRNA from 1 species